CGAAAGCAGAACUGGGGGCUGAUGGAGGCACCGUGCUGCUCCCACAGUUACUCAGUGAACUGAGACCCUCUAAUGAUUGUGUACUGGGAGAGGGCCCAGUCCAUCGGCUUCCACAGCCACUGGGCAGCUGUGACGCUGGAGAUGAGUGUGAAGCUCCUUGCUGGCACUGUGUGCACAGUCGGUGCUCACUACAUGCCAACUCCCUCUCCUUUGCCUUCCAGGUCCCCCUGCUUCUGGUAGGCAGCUGCAGAAGGUGAAGAUGCAGCACUGAGGAGGCAGGAGGAGGGCUGACCACCAGCUCCCGGCAUGUCCCCAGCACCAAGUGGCCCAGAGAGAGCCCAGGAUGCGCACGCAGGUGGAUGCUCCGCGUGCUGCCCUAGCGGGUGCCUCAGGACCCUUUGACAUUUCAGUACCAGAAAUCAAAUGUCGCUUCAGAAGCCCGGCCCUCCAAAGAUGUCACAAUCCAACCUCCCACACGCACAGGAGAACAGCGCGUUUGGAGGGAUGAAGUAACUCACCAAGGUCACGCAGUCCUGCAGAGCCAGGAUCCCAACCCAGGAAGUCCUCAGAGCCGGCCCUCGCCACCGACUCCCUGGAGGUAUGUCCAUUUCACUCAAAUACCCAACAGAUUGAGGGUUUAAAUGUAAUAUGCCCAUUUUUUGAGACGUCCGUUCUGUUCAGAGUUUGAUAUCUUAUUUUAUAAAGUGGAGGUGAUCGUGGAGCCAGUCUCAGGGCUGGGUGUUGUGGGGGCGUGGAUGAGGUGAGGCGGGUGAACACGGUAUUUGCGCUCAGUAAUUGCUGGGCUGCCUGUAACUCUAAGCAGAGUCGAAUGUCAUUCUGGAGGGGAAAUUAAAGAUGAUCUAAGCAGAAGGCAUUUCGUUUAUUAUUAUUAUUAUUGCUAAUCAUCAUCAGCAGCUGUAGUGGCCAGACAGCCUUGGGUCAGUGUCAUGGGGAAGCUUGUGAAGAAAUAGAGCAAGGCUGCUGCAGGUGCGGCAGAGGUGUUCCGCCCCGGAGGACCCUUGCUCGCCCUCCUCUUUGUGUGUCUGCUCCUGCUGCGGAGGAAUUGGGGCUCCUAGGGUGGAGACACCGGCCUCUCCCCUAGGCCUGGGCCUCUGGGUCUUCCCCAGGCUGCUGCUGCCCUCUGCUGGUCAUAGCUGGAAUUAAUGGACAUUGCCUCCCAGGGAUGCAGGAAGCCCGGAGAUUCGGGAGAGGAGGAGGGUUCCCCUGAGGCUUCCUCUGUCGUUGUAGUGUGGGCAAUGGCCACAUGACUUGUUAGGAGCUGAAGGAAGACACCACUUUAUGUGGGGGACUGGCUGCCCCCAAGAGCAAUGCAACACACAGGGUUGCCUUGGACGCUUGGCCCGGGUAGAGAGGAGGAGGGAGGUCUAACGAAGAGCAGGGAGGCUGAGGACAACCUCACUAUCACCUGUAAGUGACACACCUAUCCCCCUGAGAGGCAUCAAUUAUUGCUGUAGUCUUCAGAGACUGCCACUCAGAAUGGUAAAAUAAUUUCUUAUUCCAUUGCGGUCAAGACCUUAGACUAUGGGGUCAAAUUGUAUGCAUUUGAGACUCAGACCUUGUGUGACCUUGGGUAAGUUACUUAACUUUCAGAGCACACUCUUCUCACUGAGAACUGGGGAUGCUGCAGGGCAUACAGAGGUGACUGAGAGGACUCCAUGAGCUACGAUGCAGGCAGGAGGCCAGCACGUGCCUGGCAGGGGGCAAAGCUGAAGACCACCGAGCAAAGGCAACUGCUGCCCAAGACACACCUGGCAAGCGGUGGCAGGGACUGGAACCUGGCCUGGCUGCCUCCUCCUACUAAGGGUGGAUCUCCUUGAGCAGGCUGUUGAGGCUUGGGCUAAGGUCAGAGGUGGGGUUGUCCUUCUCUGAAAUGCAGACUAUCAAUCUGGCAAUGCCAGGCCCUCUUGCUGGCAUCUCAAACCUUGCUUAAAAUCCAGGCCUUG
rnacentral:lncRNA from 10 species